CAUCUUAUGUUUCUCGCAUGAACAUGACCUCUCUACCUUUCAUUGCAAACAUAUUUUAAUUGAAAAUCUCAUGUUACAGUACUACUAGAAUUUGUUCUAUGUUUUUGUGGGCCUUGUAACCUACUCUAUUUGACAAGCUGAACGCCUAUAUGAGAAUAGGUAUAAAAGUCAACUGCGCUUAUGUUGUCAGUCAGGCUCACUAUAUGCCUUCAUCUAAAACUUCUUGUUCGUAUUUUGUACCAUUCAGGAUAUCAGUUAUAAAUCACAUACAAUGUUUACUUUCGUCAGCCAUGUACCAUCUCCUGUGAGCAAGGAUAUGUGCACUAGUGUUCACAUUGUGCCACAUGCUCGUGUUCAGUACAUUAUUUAUUGAUGACAUAAAUUUUUUACUCAUGUUGCGUCUGGCUACUUGUAAUUAGGUGCUAUGUGUUUAGUGUUGUUGUUCUGUUUGACCACACAUUAAGUAUUUUGGCCUUGUAUUGUCUUGGCACUUGUUAUAAAAAAAGAAACGUAAAAGGAAAGCUUUCUUUUUUUUUGUGAUCUUUACAAUACUGCCUUUCCAUUCCAUUUUCCAACAGGAAAGCAUUAGUUGUAGUGAAUUAUAAUUACCGCGAGGCUUUCAAAGUUCCCAUAUUUAUGAUUUUAGAGGGCUAUCUUUGGCUUUGUCUUACAAUGUAAUCACCAUCACCUCUUGUCUGUUUUAAGCGAGUGUCCAAAAGUUUUGUUCUUUACUCAGCCAUCUAUGUGUACCAAAUAUUCGCUCGUGUAUUGUGUUCAGAGACAGUGCUUCUGAAGAAAAUUGUGUGCACCAUUCUGCACAUUUCAGCACAAGUUGUUUGGAUUCGUAAGUACAAAAAUGCAAGCCACCAGAAAUUUUGGUAUAGCUAGCUGGAGAUGACUAUGUAUUAUAAUACUUUCAAAAAUGAAUUUGCAGUAUCAGUACAAAUAAAUUAGUUCAUAUGGGGGAUGGUGUCGCAUAUCUCUGACUUCUGAUGCUUGUAUGUAGCGCCUUUAAAGGGAAAAUGGAACCGAAAACUUGAACCAGUUGAAAGCAUAAUUUCUGCCUAAGUUGGUUUGAAAUACAGGUGAACGCCUCUACUUGAGUACCUAUAUAACAAAACGACCUGUAUAACAAAUGAUUCCUUAUGUUGUGGCUAUAUUGUGAAUGGGAUGGUGUACACCUUUUACAAAAAAAAGUGACCUGUAUAACAAAGUAUUCUGAACGUUUGAAGCAGUUUAUUAUAUACUGUACUCUUUCUUGGAAAGCGAUGAGAUUGGCGUACUGCAUGUUCUUCACUAUUUGCAUUGUGCACCACAUUAAAGGUGUGACCGAUAGAACAUAAAUUAUGGAGUGUUGUAUAUGUAUGAAUGUGAAACUAAAUGAGCAUUUUUUAAGAUAUUGUUUCAUAAAUUACCUGGAUAUGGCCUAGCUUUAAAACUUAACACUGUUGUAUAGAAAACUAAGCUUUGCUAUGUGUAUAAUCUGUAGGCUGCACUUAAGUGAAUUGAUCAGUCAAUCUUUAUUAUUAGACUUAGCUUAAUGACAUUGCACCUUAGUAAAUAUAGAGAUAAAGGUCGUGAUGUAUAAGACAACAAUGGGAGCCCAAUAAAUUGAAAUUAAUUGAUUUGAUCUUACAAUUUUACAGGAAAUUAAUUUAAGAGUUGUCAGAGGAUCUUAGUGAAAAAGUAGUGCUACAGUUAAUGGAGCACCUAAUAAUGUGAUCUUUUAAAAAGCACAAUGACUCAAGGCUCUGAUGCUAAGCAUGAAGCCGUGGGUUUUAUUUCUGGUCGCAGUGCCCAUAUUCCAAUGGAAAGAAGGUUAAAAAUGCUACUUAGCUGCUGUUUGAGUAAGAAGGUAUGCAACCAGGAUAGUUGGUGUUGAUCCAUGAUGUAUGACAGCACACACAUACACGAAGGACGGGGAAAGAGGCAACAGACAAUUUUUGAAAAUUAAAAUUACUUGCAAGUCAGCAAUUGUCCUUGUUUUUGCCUCUUUCUCCGUCCUUUGUGUACGUGUGCGCUAUCAUACAUUCUGUGUCUUUCUUCCCCAGACAUCAUGAAGGCACUACUCGGACAUUUGAAACUUUUAGGCUUGUCUGAUGGCUAAGCCUUGCCUUUUUUUAUUAGUGGACCCGGACUGGGGUUCGUUUAUUUUUAAUAAAGUUCUCUCUCCAUCUCUAGGUGCCUUUUAAUACUAGCUGGAGUGUAUAGCAUAGAACUGGAUAGUUGCAGUUUCAUACAGAAUUUUGUAUUUGUUAUAUAAUUAUUA
rnacentral:lncRNA from 1 species